rnacentral:rRNA from 1 species
GACGAACGCUGGCGGCGUGCUUAACACAUGCAAGUCGAACGGAAAGGCCCUGCUUUUGUGGGGUGCUCGCGUGGCGAACGGGUGAGUAACCCGUGAGUAACCUGCCCUUGACUUUGGGAUAACUUCAGGAAACUGGGGCUAAUACCGGAUAGGAGCUCCUGCUGCAUGGUGGGGGUUGGAAAGUUUCGGCGGUUGGGGAUGGACUCGCGGCUUAUCAGCUUGUUGGUGGGGUAGUGGCUUACCAAGGCUUUGACGGGUAGCCGGCCUGAGAGGGUGACCGGCCACAUUGGGACUGAGAUACGGCCCAGACUCCUACGGGAGGCAGCAGUGGGGAAUAUUGCACAAUGGGCGGAAGCCUGAUGCAGCAACGCCGCGUGCGGGAUGACGGCCUUCGGGUUGUAAACCGCUUUCGCCUGUGACGAAGCGUGAGUGACGGUAAUGGGUAAAGAAGCACCGGCUAACUACGUG